GGGAGUAGCGCUCCGUGUGUCUGCGCUGAGGCGGCGGCGCUCCUCGGGCGGAGCGGCCUGCAGAAAGGCCGGGCUGCGCUGUGCCGGAGCGGAGCGCGGGGUGGGAUCGAAGCUGAGGCGGUCCUGCUAAGGGACAGAGCACUGCUGGGCCGCUUAGGCGUAUAGGGAGUGGCUCUAGCUGCUUCCUAACGAGGUUCAGCAAGGCCGAGUGCCGGGUCCUGCACGUUGGCCACAAUAACCCCCAUGCAGCGUUACAGGCUUGGGGCUGAGUGGCUGGGUGACUGUUAAGAGGAAAGGGACCUGGGGGUGCUUGUCUGAACACGAGCCAGCAGCGUGCCUAGGUGGCCAAGAGGGCCCGCGGCCUCCUGGCCUGCAUUAGAAAUAGUGUGGCCAGCAGGAGCUGUACUCAGCUGUGGUGAGGCCGCACCUCGAGUAUUGUGUUUGGUUUUCGGCCCCUCACUGCAAGAGAGACAUUGAGGCCUGGAGUGUGUCCAGAGAAGGGCAAUGAAACUGGUGAGGGGUCUGGAGCACAAGUCUUAUGAACAGCGGCUGAGGGAGCUGGGAUUGUUCAGUGUGCAGAAGAGGAGGCUCAGGGGAGACCUCAUUGCACACUACAACUUCCUGAAGCUCCUUGUGAUGAGGAGGGGUUUGGCCUCUUCUCCCAGGCAACAAACAGGACUGGAGGAAACGGCCCCAGGUUGUACCAGAAGAGGUUUAGGUUAGACAUAAGGAAGAGCUUUUUCUCUCAGAGAGGGAAAGAGAAUUAGGAUAGGCUACUGGCUGCGCAGAGAGGUGGCGGGGUUGCCGUCCCUGGCAGCGUCCAAGAGGCGUCUGGAUGAGGAGCUGCGAGAUCUGGUUCAGUGCUUGUGGGAGCAGUGGUGAUGGGAGGGCGGUUGGGACUAGAUGAUCUUGCAGGUGGUUUUCAACCUUGUGAUUCUAUGAUUCUAAAGCUGUAGUCCAGCCCUGCUGCUGCUCUGUGGCACGAAGCUCUGAGCAGUGCUCUGUACUGUUAGCAUAAGGGAAGUCUGAGCCUUGCAGUGUGAUUCACAGUCAACUUUUAGCAUUUUUGUUUUGAAUUUUAGGUGGUUUUGCAGAGGUGAAACUCGGACAGCAUCUUUUUACUGGUGGAAAAAGUUGGAGCAAAAAUCAUGGACCAAGUUGCUUUAGGGGAUGACUUGCCUCGUGUUGGAACAGGAGUUGGUGCCAUGAAGAACUGAAGUCAGCAAGAUGUUUGCCAAUUGUAUCAUGUAACAGAGACAUCAAAGAAAAUAUUCAUGGUCUUGGAGCAUUGUCCUGGAGGGAAGCUGUUUGAUUAUAUUGUUUCUAAGGACCACCUUUCAGAAGAGGAAGCUCGAGUCUUUUUUCGACAGACUGUUUCAGCACUUGCUUAUGUUCCCAGUCAGGGUCAUGCCCACAGAGACCUCAAACCAGAAGAUCCACUGAUUGAUGAGAAACAUGUUUCUCAUAAUUUGAAGCUGACAGACUUUGGACUCUGUACAAAGCCAAAGGGAGGCCUUGAUGACCGCCUGAACACGUGCUGUGGAAGCCCAGCAUGUGCAGCACCAGAGCUAAUCCAGGGCAAAGCCUAUAUUGGCUCAGAGGCAGAUUUUUGGAGCAUGGGUGCACUGCGGUACGCUCUGCUGUGUGGGUUUCUUCCUUUUGACGAUGGCAGUGUGAUGGCACUCUACAGCAGGAUAACAGGAGAGCGCACAACAACCUGAGCGUGUGAAUCAAGUGACACGGCUUUUCAGGCUGGUGUGAACUGUGUUGUGCACUGAGCCUUUGUCCCUUUGUAAUUAGGACGUUGUCCAUGUCUGCAGGACUGCAGAAAAUCCUUUGUGCUAAUCACUACUCCAAUUUGCAGAACGUGGCAAAUGGAAAAUGAUCCAACUGCUUCAGGUGCACAUUUCCUUAAAAUUGUGGAUAGUUUUGGACUGCGAGUCUGUAAGCAGAAUGGAGCUCUUAAAGCUGUCCAAGGUUGUUUCUGCACCAUUUAGUUCUAUCUGUCUGAUGCACACAGGAGCUGAGGGCUGCAGUGCUUGAACUGGUGGAACUUGUUUAAGUGAACUGGGAUGAGCAAGUUUCAGAACUGAGUCAGAAUGCAGUAAAAAAUGGAUACUCUCACAAGUAUUAAGAUACUGCCUUGCUAUUUCUGCACUGAAUUUGUUUUGAUUUUAUGUGGCUGUGAUCUGAAAAGUGCUUGGAAUGCAGACACCAAGGCAUUGUUGUGUCAUUGACUGUCACACGUUACAGAUCCUGAGAUAUCCUGGAAUCUAAAACUCAGAACUGGUUUAAGUCUACUGCUUGAAUCCAAUCACAGCAUCUGUGUUCAGUGUUCUUUUCCCUGCUCCACAUCACUUCAUUUGGGAAAUACUUAAGGAAAUUGACUAUGUGCCAUAACUGCUGUUAGAACAAAGUAUUUCUGGUGUGCUGUUGGGCAUUUUGUAGCUCUUGUGAGCAGUUUCCCUUCCAGCAUUGCCCUCAGCCAAGCACGUGUGAAUUUUUACCAUUACAUUUGUUCAAGCUGUUCUUAAAGCAGAGUUUGUAAUCUCUGUUCCUACGCUUUGAAAGGAAAGAGAUGUCAAUAUCAUCCAAAUAAUUUAAUAGUUCCUUUUGAGCUAGUUGUUGAAGGUUCAUUCUCAAUCCUCUCUUAUUUUAGUGAAGAAAAUAACUUUUUUAUUGCAGAGAGGAAAAGACACUGUUCCAAAAUGGCUUUCCCCUAGCAGCACGCUGCUACUUGACCAACUGCUGCAGGCACCUUGAAGUUGUUAGGAAAAGAAUAACUGUCUGCAGUUCUUCUCGGUGAUGUAAGUAACAGCUUGAAUGUUGCUGCCCACUAGGCAGACCCAAAGAAGCAGAUGACAGUUAAACUCCUGUGAAAUCACCCUUGGCUCAUGCAAGGUUAUUCUGGUGCUGUUCAGUGGCAAAGUAAAUACCCAGUAAGUACACGCACUCGAAGAAGCCUAAGUAUGUUCUGGAGUCUUUCCUGGACCACUGGCAUCCUCUCAGAAAGGGAGUGAUAACACAUUUCUUCAGAGGCUGCUGACAAGUGGUGACUCUCCGGGGUCCAUUUUGGCACCUUCAACACCUUUGUCAGUGACAGAGAGAAUGGAACUAGAGAGCACCUUCAGAAAGCUUGCAGGCAGCCCCGUGCUGAGAGGUGCGGUGGAUCAAACAGGAGGUAGGGAUGUCUCAUCCUGGUGGCAUUCAGGGCCGGGUUGGAUGAGGCCCCGGACAGUUUGAUCUGGUGAGUUGCAGCUCUGCAACUUGGAGCUUGAUGGUCUUUAAGGUCCCUUCCAACUCAAGCCGUUCUAUGAUUCUCUGGAACUGUGCUUGUGCUCCUUAUCUCUCAAUUGUCUGACCUGUGUGAGAGGUUGGGGUAGCGGGGUUGGGGUGGGAAUUGGGGGUGCGAGGGAGAUUCUUGCUGCAGAUACUGAGAAGUUGCUGUGUAUUUGCAGCCAAUGGCUGCUGCUGGCCUCUGGGUGCCACUGUUUCUCUGAAGAACAGCUGUGCUGAUGGUACACCACUGUGCUGUGCAUGCCGUGCAACUGAAUAAUUAAGAGGGGACAGAGGUGUAACUUGUGCUCUAGUGAAAAUCUCAUCUGCUGACAGGCUUUUGUACUUGAAUGCAGAACCUGUUGCCACAGAGGGACCAGUUGCUGAAGCGUGGUGACUCUUUCUGUUUACUCCUUGCAGUAUUUAGCCCUGAUGCUAACUAUUUAAAAUAGAAAAUCUGAAAUGGUGGCUAACUAUUGGCUUGAUUGGUGCAUAUCAGAAGACUAUCAUGGUGAUAGUGGCUCUGUGAGAUGACUUGGAAGCUGUUUCUUCAGUACAGGUCUUGUUCUUGCAGCUGGGGCACCUUGAUGAAGACUGUGCAACAGAACUUGCUGUGUUUCACAACCAGAGCAGAGAGAGUAUAUUGGCAUUAAUAUCAGAGGUGGAAUCGUGACCAGAUGUCACAGCCUAUCUCUUGCUUCAAUCCAGGAAGGUUCGUGGCAAGCGCAUCCACUUAAGGAUUCCAUCACAAACGACGUGCAGUACAACACAGCCAGCAAGCCAGGGAAGAAUCUCAACUGAACACUUCUUUUCAGUCUGAAAAGGCUGUGACAUCUGAAGAUGUGCCAGGUUGCAGCCAUGUGCCACAUGCAUUUGGAUCCAUGGAAUUUGCUGAUGGAACUUCAUUGUUUGAAGAAUCUCCACUAGAAGAGUUUGUUCUAAAUGCUCACAGAACAAAGCAGGUGUCUGAAGAUCCAGUGCUAGUUUCUGACAGAAAAAAUACAAUUCUUAAUCCAGAAAUCUGCUUCUCAGUGUGUACAAUGCUUAUUACAUAUUUAAGUAUCUAGAGGACCUUGACCAAAGGGAGAUACAGAUUGAGCAAAGAAGUAUGUUGAGCAUAAAUUGUGAUGCCUUCUACCUGAAAGCCAUGGUUCAUUUGAUGAGAACCUUAACUUCAGUGUUCGGUUUGCACUGAAACAGCGAGUAAGGAAACAAGCGAAGGAGUCAGUGAGGAUUUUAAAACAAAAUGGGAAGUGAUAAGGCACAGUUAAUAAGAUUUUGGAGUUAGGCAAGAGGUGGACAGAGCUUUAAAUGUACCAACAGAAAUUCAAUCUCUCUGUAUUGGACAAGAAAACCCACAGUGAAGCAAUUCAAAUUUCGCAGCUAAAAAAGUGAUAAUUCAUAGCUAUGUUUAGAUAAGCUGGUGAGGAGUAAUCCUAAAUGUAGAAUUUAGAUGAACAGAUAGAAAAAUGGCACUUGACAAUCUAUAAGAAGCAAACUCAUUUUAGGGGAGAAUCAGAGGUACUGUGUAUAACCAAGAUGUUAUAAUCACAAUAUAAUUGUGUAUAAUCAAUAGAUAUCAAAAUGUUAUAAUCGCAAUAUAAUCAAGAGAGUAAGGCAAAGCAGACAACGAUAACAAAAAGAGAAUAAGUGGAAGAGCUUACCCUUGGGCUGAGCUCACCAGAAGACACCAAAAGAGGGGAUCUCCACAAGAGAUCCUUCCCCUCUGGUAGCCAGCUCUUAAAUAGGUCCAGGAGGGGUGCAGCCUGGCUCCACCCCUUCCAGCAGCACAGGUGAAUUGCCUUCACCUGUGCUCCUCUGGCUGACUCAAGGCUCACCUCAGGUGAUCAAUCAGAGGUUCAGGCCAUGACUCAGCAGUUCCCAUACAUACUGAAGAGUUUUUAACUAUUUUGCUCAAUAGACAAGUAGUGUAUGAUGUUUUUAUGAGCAUUGUGUCUGACCUGCUUAGAUGUUAGAAUUUCCUUGACAGUGACUUCUCUGGAUGUGAUUGCAGUACCUGGCAGCAUUCAAGGUGUGAUACUCAGCUGGGCGAUAUGGAAUUCACACUGUCAGCUCCAGUGACAGGAAAAGUGGCAUCUAUGAAGCAUGCAAAGAAAUGUGGAUGCAGAGUCAGCAUGAAGAAAUGCGCUGCCCUUUGCACUUCCUGCUCCAAAGGCCUCCUUUCCAAAGAGUGAGACACAGAAGCAAGUGCAAGGCAAACCCCUCCAGGCACCUCCUUCCACAGAGAGCCAGUGCACGACAGUCAUCGCAGUUAAGAAGCCCAAAACACCAGCAAAUACGUAUGAACUGACAGCAGCUGAGGUUCUUCCUGAGAGGAGGUAAGUGUGCAGUUAUCUGUAUACGUUCUUGGUUUAGAGCAGUGCUACCUCAAUCAGUGAACAGCCUAGGAAGCAUUGUUCACAACAGCAAGCUGUAUUUCCUUUCUCUUGGUUAAAAUUCUCCUAAAACCUCUUGUAUUCCCUGGGAAACACUGAAAGCAGAAAAUAAAAAUUAAAACUAGAAGU